UACGUAGGGUGCAAGCGUUAAUCGGAAUUACUGGGCGUAAAGCGUGCGCAGGCGGUUUUUCAAGCCAGGUGUGAAAUCCCCGGGCUUAACCUGGGAACUGCAUUUGUGACUGCAAGGCUAGAGUGUGUCAGAGGGAGGUGGAAUUCCGCGUGUAGCAGUGAAAUGCGUAGAGAUGCGGAGGAACACCGAUGGCGAAGGCAGCCUCCUGGGAUAACACUGACGCUCAUGCACGAAAGCGUGGGGAGCAAACAGG
rnacentral:rRNA from 1 species